UACGUAGGGCGCAAGCGUUAUCCGGAAUUAUUGGGCGUAAAGAGCUCGUAGGCGGCUCGUUGCGUCGGCUGUGAAAACCCGCAGCUCAACUGUGGGCUUGCAGCCGAUACGGGCGGGCUUGAGUUCGGUAGGGGAGACUGGAAUUCCUGGUGUAGCGGUGAAAUGCGCAGAUAUCAGGAGGAACACCGGUGGCGAAGGCGGGUCUCUGGGCCGAAACUGACGCUGAGGAGCGAAAGCGUGGGGAGCGAACAGG
rnacentral:rRNA from 1 species